UGGGUAUUCAUUAAUUCACGAAAUACUUUGUUGGGUGCUUACUGAAAGUUAUAUUCUUAUAUAUUUUUCCAAAUAUCUUAUUUUAAUGAUUCCAUUGUUUUCAACAUUUUGUAGAAUUUUUUAAACAAUUGAAACAAUUCAAUGACAGAAGACUCAAGACAUUAAAUAAAUGUAAAUUUGAUUUUCCAUUACUUCAUUUUCAGGGUUAGCCAGUCAUCUUUCGUGACCUCAAAUUCCCAACCAAUUUGUAUUUCCAAUAAUAAUAAAAAGCAAAUGAGUAUAAAAAUGCAAUCAUUUGAAGAGCUCUUAUUGAACUUGUACACAUUUGUAGAUUGUGAAAUAUUUAUUGGAUUAUCAAUUAACAUAAGACUUUUCCCAAGCUUUUAAUUAUUACACUCGACAACCGCCUUUUUAACAAUAGUCGAUGAUAAACACGCACGAGACGAGAAAAUCGAAAAUCCCAUGAAUCAUUGUUGUUUCGGAUUGCGAUGGUCAAGUGCGAUGGGCUGCACUUUCAGCCAGGCUGAAAGCCAAGAUCAGCUUACAUCGCCACAAGUCAUUAUCAGGGUGCUUUGCGCAAGGGCCCCAGUGGGAUCGAUCGAUAAUUACUGGAGAGAAAACAUGGCAUGGCAUGGCAUUGCGUUACUUUAAGUAAAUUGAAUUGAUCAUCAUGGUGGGGCAAUCGCUGAUCGCUGAUCGCUGGCCAAGGAGUUCGGGAGCAGUGCGAACGAUUAGUGAAUGACAUACAAAUUAUGAUUGAUGAAUUGCACUGCACGGCAGUGCAGAGCGAUCGCCCGCUGGCCGGCGGCGACCCGUGGAGAAAACUGUAACAAAAGUGCAGCUUAAUGCAGUCGCUGCUUGCACGCCAGCAACAUGCAGCAUGCAGCAUGCAACCAGCAACCAGCAACAUGUGUAGCUGCAACACCAAUCGAUGCAGCAAUUUGUGACAAUCAUCAUGCUGUGUAUGCUUGGCCCAGGCCAUGACUAUUCAAUGGUCUGAUCUGAUCCGACUGCGAAACUAGAACAGGCCGCAGAUGGCCGGGCCAAGUAAAAGUAGUUUUUCUCUUCGUUUUGUCUAUUUAUUUCUGUUUUCCCUCUUUUCCAACAUCUGCUCUGGAAAAGGAACGGGAACUACACAGAAAACUUUUGCGGUAACUCACGAAUAUUUCUGCUUAGAGAGUGACAUUCAGUUUUUGGUACUUAAGUAUUUUUAUAUGAAAUUUUAGAUGUUUGCAAAAUGCAACACAUAUUUCUUAAAUACAACCAAACUUCCUUUGGACAUACAUAAUACGUAAUACCUAUUAAUAGCGUUGUUUAUUUUCUGAGUGCACCAUUGUUGGUGGAUUCGUUUGUCAACCGGGCGAAGUGAAAAGCUUUCACUGCACGAGAAUGUUUCUCGAGCGGCGGCAACUCAAUUGAUUGGCAAAAUACUUUCACAUGCAAUAAACAUAAAUUUGCCUCGCAACCGUUUUGUCGGCCGGCUUUUGCUUUUGCAUUAACUAUACCUAUAGCUAUUGAUCAAACAAAUGUAUGUGGCAAUGGAGGGGCAGCAAAAACCAGGCAACUGGGUUGUCUAUAUUUUCUGUUGUUCUCGGCCGGCUAAGAAAAAGUAAAAGAGGUGAGCUGGAAAAGACAAAAACCGAAAGAAACAUAACUCUGCUGAUUGCAUGCAGGCAGACUGGCAGCGAUGGAGUUUUGUCGGCGGUCGGAAAUGUUGGUCAGACACUAAUGGCAAAAUCAUUGCAAAUGAAGCAUGAAAAUUGGCCCACAUUCACAUGACACAGCGCUUGGCUGGGCCAUUCCAUUAUUUAAUAGCUAAUUAACAGAGAGGGGCCCAGGAAGCAUAGCUCAUAAUUCCAUGGCUUGCAUAAUCGCCAUGCACUUUUCCUCCCAUUUAUAUUUUUUUGUGGGGUUUUUAUUAAUUUUUUUUUUUGGUUUUUCCUUUCGGCCGACUUGCCUGUGGAGCGUGGCGAACAUCAAAGCAUGGGAAGUGGUGGAGAAGUCACAUUGAAGAUCGUGUAAUUAUAUAGCAAAAUCCAUUGUCAACCACGAAAUUGAAACCGAACAAUCCAAACGUCGGCUGACUGUCACUCAAAAAAACCAAAAACAGCAAACAAAAAAAAACGGAGAAAAAAUAUGGAGAAAAACUAAGCACUAAGCUCAAUGUCGGGCACCGUCAUCCAUUCGAGCAUCGCGAUUGGCUUUAUGAUUUCAGAGUCUUAUUGCUCAAUUAACUCGGGGAUCUGGCCUCUUGGCCCACGGCCUGGAAAAUGAAAAUACUCAGCCGAACAAUAAAAGAGUUUCCAAUGCACAGUUUCCAGCUUCGGCGACACACAUGCAAAUCUGAAUUCACUAUACCCACUAUGCCAUACAGACUGUGACACAAGUGCUUCCUUGUCACUCGAACGAGGCGUCUGUCUGUCACUGCUCCGAAGUUGUAUCUUCUCGAGCUGCGCCUAGUGGCUGAUAUGGAUUGCUUGGCAGAAGGCGUGGAACAGUGGUCUCUUCUCUUACUAUCACUGGAUUUAGUACUGUACGAGUAUAAAGUAUGAUUGAAUGCUGAUUCCCAACCAGUGCUUUCCAGUAUCUGUGCAGUAUGAACAACCGAUCAUUUAAUCUCCGUACCAACUUCAAUUGCAAAUUUUGGUCACCAGUUUCAGCGAAUCCAACCACUGUCUCCCAAAGUCGCAAUCAACGCCACAUCAUCAUCAUCAUCUGCGUCGUGGGCGCAAAGCAUCAUCUCCGCGCUGCUGCCACGCAUUGCUGAUUCCUCAAGUUUUAUUACUCGCCAUGGCAAUUGGGUUGAUCAUCAUUGUGGCAGCUUCGUGGCAGCAUCGUUGUGCGGCAUGACAGACGGAAAAACGCACUUGGCCUGGGCGACAGAGCGGCUCAAUUAGGCUGCCCACCACUUGAGUCGACUGCUGGUACACUAGCCAGCAGGGUUUUGGGGCUUGUCGAGUGAUUAGAGACAGCCAACACAGCACCUUGGCUACCCACCACCAGCCAGCAGGAGAUCUUCCUACCUUAUAAACAGAUGACAUUUCCAGCAGACACCGAAGCAAUUAUCAGGCGAAUUGGCCAUAAAUCCAGGCAGCGGCAGCAACUGUUUCAUAAAUCACAGAACGUUUGCUAUUUGUGAAAAGUCAUAGUGAUUUGAUUUAGGACGGAAAUUAAUCAGAUGAGCCAUGACAAAUGCCUAAACGUUUGUUUAGCGCAUUUAACUCUGCAACAAAAGCCCUGCCGGCCAAUAGUAAAAAUAUGAGCAAAUAAUGAGCUUAGAAAAUUUUACGAUCCAGCCAUCGGCCAGUGACAAAACUGAGAGAAAAGAGGGAUAUGGAAAAGCUGGGGAAGUACACUGCAAACACAAGGCAUUCUCAACUAUUCGACUGUAAAUCAGCUUUUGCUAAAGCUGAAAAUAUUUUAAAAAUAUAUAUCCCAACAUCAUUUAUUACAUAUUACACAGUAACAUAUCUUUAUGAAAAUACUAUGAUCAACAAAAUGAUAUACCCUUUUAGAGUAAUUGCAUACAAAGGCAUGGAAAUAGUUUUCCGUGUAGGAUGGAACUGCAGCGAAUCGGAUGACGCAAAAUGGGGAGACUGCCAGUUGGAUUUGGCACUUUUAAGCUGGAAACCAUGACAAUUACGACUCAGGGCCGAUUGACGGCCAGCGCGAGUGAGCCAAAUCAAAUUGCCGAUAAAGCGGCGAUAGUGUGUGAAGUGGCAUGGCCGGAACCCCUGGAGGUACACAGCAAGAAAAAGGGGGGCGGUGGCAGGAGGGAGAGAGAGUGGCAAGCCGGUAGGAGAUAGCGCAAUCACGGAUGACUCGGACUCGGUUCCACAACCAAAAACCAAAGUUCGCCCCCCAAAUGAAUUAUGAGCCAUGACGCCUUUAUGGUCUCCAGCCAUUAAAACAGAUUUUUUUUCAUUGUCCGCUGCCAUUGUAUUGUCCAGAGUAUUUUGACCAGGAAAGUCAGGGCAUAGAAGAGAUCGACGGCUUGGCCAAUGUGAAAAUAAUCAAAAUGGCUAUACGGCUCUUUACUGGAUUUGCCUGCCAGAGUCGAAAUGAGGAACCAAAGUGGAGUUACUGCUGUUGACCAAUAACAGACAUUUGCACCGUUGGCAAUUGGCACGAAAAGAUGCGUGAGACGUCGCCAAAGAUGGUCGAUAUCGAGUGGGCUUUAUGGCCAAGUCUAAAUGCCACAAUUGAGUCUGUCGCUGUGAGAAGUUAUAGAGUUAUUCGUUGAGAUCAUUAGACAAGCUUACCAAAAAACAGAUUGUUUCCCCAGAAGAAGGCAUUAGAUCAAGCAAUACCGCUUGGCUUUUGAUGAUGUAAUAGCCAAGAAAAUUAAUUGUUCGGUAUUUAAUGUAUCGCCUUUUAUUAUUAUGCUUUAAAUUAAGAACUUUAGAUCUUUACUCAUCUUCUUAAAGUAUUUUCUCAAGCUUAACAGAGUAACGUAUUACAAAAACCUUUCUUUGGCAAUCAAGCUAAGUGUAAACUUCUUUCAGAAAAUCAAGUAAUUAUCUAAAUUGAAUAAUAAAGGCUGUUUUCGUGUUAAACAAUCUAAGAAGUAUUUUACGGGAGUUCAAGUGAGUUCAUUCUCAACCUAAUAACAUACAUAUCCAAUCAGAAGUUUCCAUAGCUCGACACCACGUCCCAAAUAAAUCAGAGAUCCUCACUUUUCGGUGCGGUGACCACAUCUUUCAUAUCCCACCGAUCGGCCCACAAAUAGACAGUCCAAAGUGGACGCCUCCAAAAUGACAGAAAACACGCGACAGGUGAGGCCCACGUAGAUGAUUUAUUUUUAGACAGGACUCGAGUGCAAAUCGCUGGCACUUAUGGCGAAUUUAAGCAAAUUUAUUAAGGCAAUUAUUUGAUUGCGGCAAAUGUUUGGGCGCCUCAAGUGCAACACAUACAAGUACAAGAUACAAAGUGAAACAACAUCGACCAGUUGCCAAAUAUGGACAAAAUGACAAGUGGUCGAGAGCCAGACGAAAAAAUUAAGCAAAAAAAUCUAAAUAUAUAUGUAAACUACAUAUAUUUAUGUUUAGAGUGCAAUCAAUUUAACUGUCUGGCGAUUUUCAAUUCGCCGCUUUGAUCGGCUUGGCUUCGGAUUAAAUUUCAUGUAGUUUUUCUGCUAUUUUUUUUAGUUUUUUUUUUGUCAAACAAAUUUACAUAAUUUUGUGGGAUUGACGGACGGGGCUUUUCUGUAGACUUGUGUGUUUAUGUCUAGGGAGGCUCGUCCGCAUUUGGAAGUAGCCUCGUUUGUAUAUAGACCCAAUUCAAUUCACAUUCAAUGCGAAUUCAAUUGAAACGCCCGAUUGUCACAUGGAUUAUUAUUAUGUUUGUGAUCAAUUUAUGGCUCUGACAUUUGGAUCGACAUAUAUGGGCCGAGGAAGCUACGAUGUGUGUGCUCUGUCUUCUGUCUGACAAUUAUUAAUGGCAACAGUUUAAUUUAAUUAUGGGAAAAGUCGUAAGACUUUUCAUUAUUAAGCGUCAUUCGAGCAUUCAGUUAUAGAUUGCAUAAACCUUUGCCACGGACACCUGCAAACGGCUUCCGGUAAUCAAAAGUUAGUUAAUUAUAGUGGCAAAAACUUUGUGGCUAAUUAAUUAUUAUAACAAGUAAAAUGUGAAGGUGAGAAAAAACA